rnacentral:rRNA from 1 species
CUCCUACGGGAGGCAGCAGUGGGGAAUAUUGGGCAAUGGGGGAAACCCUGACCCAGCAACGCCGCGUGAAGGAAGAAGGCCUUCGGGUUGUAAACUUCUUUUACCAGGGACGAACACAAU